rnacentral:rRNA from 1 species
UACGGAGGGUGCAAGCGUUAAUCGGAAUUACUGGGCGUAAAGCGCGCGUAGGCGGCUGGAUAAGUCGAUUGUGAAAGCCCCGGGCUCAACCUGGGAAUUGCAGUCGAGACUGUUCGGCUAGAGUGUGGGAGAGGGCAGUGGAAUUCCCGGUGUAGCGGUGAAAUGCGUAGAUAUCGGGAGGAACAUCAGUGGCGAAAGCGACUUCCUGGACCAAUACUGACGCUCAUGUGCGAAAGCGUGGGGAGCAAACAGG